rnacentral:rRNA from 1 species
CAGCCGCCACGGUAAUACGUAGGGUGCAAGCGUUAAUCGGAAUUACUGGGCGUAAAGCGUGCGCAGGCGGCUAUGCAAGACAGAUGUGAAAUCCCCGGGCUCAACCUGGGGACUGCAUUCGUGACUGCAUGGCUAGAGUACGGUAGAGUGGGAUGGAGUUCCGCGUGUAGCAGUGAAAUGCGUAGAUAUGCGGAGGAACACCGAUGGCGAAGGCAAUCCCCUGGACCUGUACUGACGCUCAUGCACGAAAGCGGGGGGAGCAAACAGGAUUAGAGACCCCAGUAGUCCCUGUCUCUUAUAC